rnacentral:sRNA from 1 species
GCUGGCUGUGGUGGUGCACACCUGUAAUCCCAGUGGCUCAGGAGGCUGAGGCAGGAGGACGGAGUUCAAAGUCAGCCUCAGCAAAUUAAUGAGGCCCUAAGCAACUCAGUGAGACCUUGUCUCUA